rnacentral:rRNA from 1 species
CUGGGAACUCUAGGGAGACUGCCGGUGACAAACCGGAGGAAGGUGGGGACGACGUCAAGUCAUCAUGGCCCUUAUGGGCAGGGCUACACACGUGCUACAAUGGCCGGUACAAAGGGCAGCGAAGCCGCAAGGUGAAGCGAAUCUCACAAAACCGGUCGUAGUCCGGAUUGCAGUCUGCAACUCGACUGCAUGAAGCUGGAAUCGCUAGUAAUCGUGGAUCAGAAUGCCGCGGUGAAUACGUUCCCGGGCCUUGUACACACCGCCCGUCACACCAUGGGAGUGGGCUGUACCAGAAGUAGGUAGUCUAACCUUCGGGAGGACGCUUACCACGGUGUGGUUCAUGACUGGGGUGAAGUCGUAACAAGGUA